UCCUUUUCGGUAAGUUUGUGCAAUGUACGCUUUUUUGAACCCUUACCCGGUUGGUUGAAGAUUGAUAAUGAUUGUACUGCAGGAUCAUUCCCAAUAUCAUCAUGUCGAUUAGGUCUGUUUCUCAAACACGACACAUAAUCAUCAAAGUAGUAAGAACAAAAGUGGGAUCUUUCUUUAGCUAGAUAUACUUGAACCAUACACCCCUCCACCCUAUGUUUAUUCUUAAUACCCCUUUUAGACUUGCCAAUGCUCCUGUAAAAUUUUAUAUUAGAUAUAUAAUUUCAAAA
rnacentral:lncRNA from 1 species